GUUCCCUUCGUCUAGAGGCCUAGGACACGUCCCUUUCACGGAUGUAACGGGGGUUCGAAUCCCCCAGGGAACGCCA
rnacentral:tRNA from 1 species